rnacentral:rRNA from 1 species
AACCCCGCCUAUAUACCGCCGUCGCCAGCUCACCUUGUGAAAGAUAAAUAGUGAGCCUAAUGAGAAUCAUCCCAAAACGUCAGGUCGAGGUGUAGCGAAUGGGGUGGGAAGAAAUGGGCUACAUUUUCUGACCAUCAGAAUAUUACGAAAAAUGCCAUGAAACAUGGCGUACAGAAGGUGGAUUUAGCAGUAAAGAGAAAACAGAGUGUCUC